rfam:Streptococcus sp. TA 26, complete genome.
GAUUCGUUGGUUUAAAUCAAACCUGUUAUGAUUUAAGAAAACGAAUCGCCACAACCACAUUGUUUGCUGAGCUUGACUCCGGGCAGUGUGGUUAUUUU